rnacentral:rRNA from 1 species
CCUACGGGAGGCAGCAGUAGGGAAUCUUCCACAAUGGGCGAAAGCCUGAUGGAGCAACGCCGCGGGGGUGAAGAAGGUCUUCGGAUCGUAAAACCCUGUUGUUAGAGAAGAAAGUGCGUGAGAGUAACUGUUCACGUGUCGACGGUAUCUAACCAGAAAGCCACGGCUAACUACGUGCCAGCAGCCGCGGUAAUACGUAGGUGGCAAGCGUUAUCCGGCUUUCUUGGGCGUAAAGGGAACGCAGGCGGUCUUUUAAGUCUGAUGUGAAAGCCUUCGGCUUAACCGGAGUAGUGCAUUGGAAACUGGGAGACUUGAGUGCAGCAGAGGAGAGUGGAACUCCCUGUGUAGCGGUGAACUGCGUAGAUAUAUGGAAGAACACCAGUGGCGAACGCGGCUCUCUGGUCUGUAACUGACGCUGAGGUUCCAAAGCGUGGGUAGCAAACAGGAUUAGAUACCCCAGUAGUC